UAAAAGUCGUAACAAGGUUCCGUAGGUGAACCUGCGGAAGGAUCAGUCGUAACGAGGUUUAACUGGGAUUGUAGCUGGCCUUCCGAGGCAUGUGCACGCCCUGCUCUUCCACUCUACACCUGUGCACUUACUGUAGGUUUCGGAUUGUGAAUCGGGCCUUCGCGGGUUCGUGAAGCCGUCUGGGCCUGCGUUUAUUAUAAACUACCAAGUAACAGAAUGUGUAUCGCGAUGUAACGCAUCUAAAUACAACUUUCAGCAACGGAUCUCUUGGCUCUCGCAUCGAUGAAGAACGCAGCGAAAUGCGAUAAGUAAUGUGAAUUGCAGAAUUCAGUGAAUCAUCGAAUCUUUGAACGCACCUUGCGCUCCUUGGUAUUCCGAGGAGCAUGCCUGUUUGAGUGUCAUGAAAUCUUCAACUUAUAAGCCUUUGCGGGUUUAUAGGAUUGGAAUUGGAGGCUUGUCGGCCUUGAUGGGUCGGCUCCUCUUAAAUGCAUUAGCUUGAUUCCUUGCGGAUCAGCUCUCGGUGUGAUAAUGUCUACGCCGCGACUGUGAAGCGUUUGGCGAGCUUCCAAUCGUCUCACUGGAGACAACUUUAUGACCUCUGACCUCAAUCCGGGAGGGACUACCCCGCUGAACUUGAGCAUAUCAUAAGCGGAGAAAUCCCUCCAGCUUAUUUGAUAUGCCGUUGCUACGACUUUACUCAUCUCGGCUAUGAUAUGCCUUGCUACGACUU
rnacentral:rRNA from 1 species